rnacentral:rRNA from 1 species
GUGGGGAAUUUUGGACAAUGGGCGCAAGCCUGAUCCAGCAAUGCCGCGUGCAGGAAGAAGGCCUUCGGGUUGUAAACUGCUUUUGUACGGAACGAAACGGUCCUGGUUAAUACCCGGGGCUAAUGACGGUACCGUAAGAAUAAGCACCGGCUAACUACGUGCCAGCAGCCGCGGUAAUACGUAGGGUGCAAGCGUUAAUCGGAAUUACUGGGCGUAAAGCGUGCGCAGGCGGUGCUGUAAGACAGGCGUGAAAUCCCCGGGCUUAACCUGGGAAUUGCGCUUGUGACUGCAGUGCUGGAGUGCGGCAGAGGGGGAUGGAAUUCCGCGUGUAGCAGUGAAAUGCGUAGAUAUGCGGAGGAACACCGAUGGCGAAGGCAAUCCCCUGGGCCUGCACUGACGCUCAUGCACGAAAGCGUGGGGAGCAAACAGGAUUAGAUACCCGAGUAGUCC